rnacentral:lncRNA from 1 species
GGAAUUUGAUCCAUAAUUUAGAUUGAUCAGUAAAUAUCAUGUUGUCUAUUUUCUUUGUAAUAUAAAUAAGGAAAAACAUUAAAAAUUAAGCAAUAUUAAUAAAAAUAGUGUAAUAGUGAUUUAUAUAAGAAGUACAAAUAUAAUGAUCAAAUUUGAUGAUUUUAAGUAUAAUGAUCCAAGUUUGCUUAAGAACUGAAAGUUAAUGUAUACUAUUAACAUCUAUGGGAGAUUACUUUUUAAUUUGUGCUGUUUUUAGUUUAAUCAUAAUUUUCCAAAUCUAUUAUAGGUUGAAUACUGAUUUUCCAGAUGCUGAUGAUCCAGUACCUCCUUUAAUCCAGACAAAAUUUUCAGAACAUAAAAUCCCUGCUACUGUUCAAUUAAUUGAUGAAAAAAAUGAAGCAAAUUUGAUCUCUGAAGUAAACAUCAAGUAAUAUUGUCUUAAUUGGUUAUAAACUUACAAAAUAUAUGAAACAUGAUAUUAAAUAUCAGUGAUGUAUCUUAGAU